rnacentral:rRNA from 1 species
AUGAACGCUGGCGGCGUGCCUAAUACCUGCAAGUCGAGCGAACAGACGAGGAGCUUGCUCCUCUGACGUUAGCGGCGGACGGGUGAGUAACACGUGGAUAACCUACCUAUAAGACUGGGAUAACUUCGGGAAACCGGAGCUAAUACCGGAUAAUAUAUUGAACCGCAUGGUUCAAUAGUGAAAGACGGUUUUGCUGUCACUUAUAGAUGGAUCCGCGCCGCAUUAGCUAGUUGGUAAGGUAACGGCUUACCAAGGCAACGAUGCGUAGCCGACCUGAGAGGGUGAUCUGCCACACUGGAACUGAGACACGGUCCAGACUCCUACAGGAGGCAGCAGUAGGGAAUCUUCCGCAAUGGGCGAAAGCCUGACGGAGCAACGCCGCGUGAGUGAUGAAGGUCUUCGGAUCGUAAAACUCUGUUAUUAGGGAAGAACAAAUGUGUAAGUAACUAUGCACGUCUUGACGGUACCUAAUCAGAAAGCCACGGCUAACUACGUG